rnacentral:rRNA from 1 species
UACGUAGGGGGCAAGCGUUGUCCGGAUUUAUUGGGCGUAAAGAGCUCGUAGGUGGUUCGGUAAGUCGGAUGUGAAAUCUCCAGGCUCAACCUGGAGGGGUCAUUCGAUACUGCCGUGACUAGAGUUCGGUAGGGGAGUGUGGAAUUCCUGGUGGAGCGGUGAAAUGCGCAGAUAUCAGGAGGAACACCGAUGGCGAAGGCAGGUCUCUGGGCUGUAACUGACGCUGAGGAGCGAAAGCAUGGGGAGCGAACAGG